GGUUUGUGGCUCAAGUGGUAGAGUGCUCGCCUAGCAUGACGUAUAAGGCCCUGGGUUCAAUCCUCAGCACCA
rnacentral:tRNA from 1 species